GGGACCCCCGGUAGGGGGGGAGGGGGGCGCGGUGGGAGAGCCGCCCCCCCCCGGGAUCUGGAUGAGGCCUGGGAAGGGCAGGCCACAGGAGGCGGAGGAUGUGCAGCCCCCACCCCCCGAGCACAGCACAGAGCCUGACCCUGCCC